GAAUCCCGUCUUUGGCAUGGAUGACCGGGGCUUUUGUGAUGCGCUCUCGAAGAGUCGAGUUGUUUGGGAAUGCAGCUCAAAAUGGGUGGUGAACUCCAUCUAAAGCUAAAUAUUGGCGAGAGACCGAUAGCGAACAAGUACCGUGAGGGAAAGAUGAAAAGCACUUUGGAAAGAGAGUGAAACAGUACGUGAAAUUGUUGAAAGGGAAACGCUUGAAGUCAGUCGCGUCGACCGAGACUCAGCCUUGCCUCGGCUCGGUGUACUUCUCGGCCGACGGGUCAGCAUCAAUUUUGCCCCUCGGAUAAUGGCGAGAGAAAGGUGGCACCCUCACGGGUGUGUUAUAGUCUCCCGUCGGAUGCGAGGGUUGGGAUUGAGGAACUCGGCACGUACCGUGCUUAGGAUGUUGGCAUAAUGGCUUUAAACGACCCGUCUUGAAACACGGACCAAGGAGUCUAACAUGCCCGCGAGUGUUCGGGUGGAAAACCCGUGCGCGUAAUGAAAGUAAAAGUUGGGACCCCUGUCGUGGGGGGCACCGACGCCCGGACCAGACCUUCUGUGACGGAUCUGCGGUAGAGCGUGCAUGUUGGGACCCGAAAGAUGGUGAACUAUGCCUGAAUAGGGUGAAGCCAGAGGAAACUCUGGUGGAGGCUCGUAGCGAUUCUGACGUGCAAAUCGAUCGUCAAAUUUGGGUAUAGGGGCGAAAGACUAAUCGAACCAUCUAGUAGCUGGUUCCUGCC
rnacentral:rRNA from 1 species